rnacentral:lncRNA from 1 species
UUUUUUUUUUUAACUGCAGGUCAUGACUCACUUGGUUUAUAAAACCAAUUUAGUUCACUGACAAGCCUCUUUAAAAAAUGAAAUAGAUUAGAAUAGAAAAUAUCAGAGAGUAGUGCCCAAAGUAAGGAGGAGUAUUGAUUUACAACUCUUGUUUCAGAUAGACAGGCAGAGAUAUAACAAUAUAGACAUUUGUAUUUUGCAUCACAAUGUGAAAUGUAUUUUUUACUUUGGAUCAUAGUCAUACAAUUUUCUAAAAAUUUACCAAACUCAUGUUUAUACUCAUUCAUAUGUAGAGUUAUUCAUUUAUUCAGUAUUUUGAGUACACCAAAGUAUUAAAAAAUAACAAAAUCAUCUCUCUCUUUGAGGACCUAGCAUUCUCUUAAGAGAAAUUGAUAUGUACACAAUUUUAGUAUGAUGUACAUGAUUUCUAGAUGCAGAGUACAGAUAAUUCCCUGGAAACAUAGAGGAGGAGGUAAUAACACUUCCUUAAGAGUCUCUUGUUAACUCACAUUCUGCAUUCUUCCGGCGAGGAAUCAGCAUGCUAAGUUUUCAUUAAAAUAUUUGUAAGAUGUAGUCCAUUUUCUUUUAUUUUAAUGUUAUAUGGUUAUUGGCAAGUAAUGGAGUUACACUAUAAAAUUCUGUGUGGUGAGGUUGUAAAAAUAAUACAUUUCUCUUCAACAGUCUUGAACUAUUUUCAAAAAUUGAUACUUGGGUUCAUACUCCAGAAAAGCUAUUAUCUAUUUAGAGGAAGAAAUUGCCGGAAAAGCUUGACCUCCAUAAAGUUCCCCUUUGUAUUAAAGGAGAUCAUUUGUUCACAGCAAAUCACCUGUCUUAAUCUUUUCUCACAUUCUUAAAAUAAUAUGUGAACAUGUGAACAUAUUACAACAUAAUAUAAAAAUGUUAACAGUGGUAUAUAAAUAAAAUUUCAUAUUGAUAAAUACUUAUUCCUAAAAAUAUAUUAAGGAGUCAGAAAUAUUUGGUAAAUAUAGAAGAUUUAAAAUAAUAGAUCCUGGCACUAUCAAUUUCUUGUGUUGAUGUUUUUUGGGUUGAUUGGAUGCACAGUUGACCCUUGAAUAAUGUGGGGAUGUUAGGCAUCAACCAUCCACACUGUUGAAAAUCUGAGUAUAACUUUUGACUCUUCAAACAUUUUACUCAAAAUCUAUUGUUAACUGAGAGCCUUACCAACAACAUAAAAAGUUGAUUAACACAUACUUGUAUGUUAUAUGCAUUGUAUACUAUCUUCUUACAAUAAAGUAGGUUAGAGGGGGAAAUAUUAUUAAGAAAAAUCAUCAGGAGGGAGCACCUGGGUAGCUCAGUGGUUGAGCCUUUGGUUCAAGGCGUGAUCCCAGGUCUGGGGAUCGAGUCCUACAUUGGGUUCCCUGUGUGGAGCCUGCUUCUCCCUCUGCCUGUGUCUCUGCUUCUCUCUCUGCGUCUCUCAUGAAUAAAUAAAUAAAAUAUUUUAAAAAAUAAAAUCAUAAGAAAAAUACAUUGGUAGUGGCGCUCUUUAUCAAAAAAAAACCCACAGGGGCACCUGGGUGGCUCAGUUCCUUAAGCGUCUGCCUUUGACUCAGGUAAUGACCCCAGGGUCCCAGCAUUGAGCUCGGAGUCUGUCCAGCUCCAUGCUCAUUGGAAAAUUUGUUUCUAUGCAUUCUUUCUCUUUCUCUCUCUCAAAUAAAUAAGUAAAAUCUUUUAAAAAACUAUAAAAAACACAAAAAUCUAUGUAUAAGUGGACCUAUAUUGUUCAAACCCCUGCUAUUCAAGGGUCAACUGUACCUUUAGAAUCAAAUGAAGAAAUAUUUUUAUAAAAGAAUUUAAAAAACACUUUGAGUCUCUUUGAUAUAGCAAAAAUUACGCUUCCAGUUGGAUUAAAAAAGAAAAUAGCCAUUACAUUCUGCAAAUGUAACCAAAACAUACUACCAAUUUUUACCAAUUUUUAGAGUACUUUCUUGAAACCUCAUUAAACAAACUCUGAACAUGUGACCUAUCUGUUCCCUUGGAUUCUUAGUACAUGCUUUUUGAGUAAGUGGUAUUCUUUCUCCAGCUCUAAUUAAUUUUUAUCAUUAUUUUUCAUUUGGGGUCCAUUAGAAGUUUUUAAAUGUUCUGAUUCCAAUUCAUAAUUUCAAAGUAAAGGAGCUUCUCUGGAUAGUUAAAUGUAUAUGCACACUCUCCUUCCUUCUAUUAUUGUAUUAACUAGAGCUUAUUUAGUAUGCUGUACUACUUGAAGCUUUUUGUGCAACACAUUUCCUAUGACCAAAUCAUAAUAUCAAGUCAUUGGGAAUUCUUUGCUUUGUUUUGAGGAAUCAAGGUCCAGAGUCCAAACCUUUGAAAUUUAUUUCUAUAUUAGGAAGUUGAUUGAAUAAUUUUAUAAAAAGAAUUACAUAUUUACUUUCUGAAACAGCUUAAAAUGUUAUCAAAUUUUUAACAAAUUACUUUGUUUUAAUAAUAAGUAUAAAAUCUAGUAAUGAAAUCCCAGGUCAUGAAUUUUUCUAGUGAAUCAGUUUAGUUUUAUUUGCUAAGAAGUCCUGAGUUUUUCAUAAUGAAUAUUAUGUUUUUUUGUGUAUGUGUGUGUGCUACAAAAAUCUAUGAGAAUUUUUUAUAUGAUCUACAUAAAUUGGUUUUAUAUAUUGGAAAUAUCUACUUAUUUCCUUGAGAAUUUUCCUUUGGAGUUUAUGUAGCAUUUUAAAUGUAAUCAAUUUGUCUUAAUUUUUACACCUCCUCUGGUAUACAUUAUAUGUAGAUAAUAUAGAUAUUGAUGUAUAAAUAGGGUUUUAUACUUUCAAAGCCUUAUCUCCUACAGCAAUACAUCUGAUUCUCCUAAUAAUCAGAUAAAUGAACUCAACAUAGUGUGAAUAAUUUUUGUUGCCAGUUUACAGAUGGGAAAACUGAGGUCUAAAUAGUUGAAGAUAUUUCUUAAGAACUAGGUAGUAAGAGGUAGAGGUAGGACAUGAAUUCAUGUCUUCUUCCUCCAAAUUUCAUGUUUUGAAUAUAAUCUGAAUAUAUAAAACAGCAAAAACUCAGUUGGAUUAGUCAGAAGUCUCCAGAGAAACAGAACCAAUGGGAGAUACAUAGAUCUAUACAAAAGGAUAUUUAUUAUAGAUAUUGGUUCACAUGGUUAUGAAAGCCUAGGAGUUCCAUGAUCUGCCAUUUGCAAGCUGGAAAACCAGGAAAACCAGCGGUAUACUUCAG